rnacentral:misc_RNA from 1 species
UUCACACCAUGUGGUCCUGGAGGUGACAUAGUCAUGGUUUUGAAAUAGGGCGGUUCAUGUAUGUAUGUUGAUGUCGGAUCCCAUGAGUAGAGAGUCCCAGAAGGUACAGAUAAGUGGUUCCACAUGGGAUUUCCUUUAGUGAUUGCCUCAUAAGUAGCCUUGAACAUAUCAGGCAACACAUUUGAUUGUACAACCUUUGCCACUUCUUCAUUGGAUGGCCAAAUAUCCCUGAAAAAUACCUUAUUUCCAUCUUUUCCUACCCCAAUUGGUUCUGUUUCAAAAUCAAUAUCUACCGU